AGAAGCAAGCGCGGCUUCAGCCGUUCGUGGGUACAGUUGCGCCGAGCGUCUCGGGGGCGCCGUCUGGGCGGGAGCCGGGGCUUCGGAGCCGUCACGUCUCCAGGACCGCCCGCGCCUGCUGAUAGAACGAGCUCCUUGUGUGAAGGCUGUGAUUAUCCGGGAUGUGUUUGCAGGAUGGUGGGAGCCUUACUGCAUGGACCCUGAAGCAGGGGGGCCCAGACCAGGUGGAUCUGGGCCUGGUGGGCUGUGAGGCCUGCAGGUGGAGAGAUGACCCUCAUCUGUGCGGCGUCGCGGCAGGAGCCACCAUCAGAGACGCUGCGCCACGCCCAGAAAAGCAAAAUUGAGUCUGAAAGGCAAGUAAAACUCAAAGGCUGUUUUUUUCCUUCGCCAUCUUCCGUUGCAAAGUCAGAAUUUUGAGCACUCUAAGUUGCUAAGUUUGUGUUCUGUAUGUAGGAGCAAAGAGAUUUUUUUCAA